rnacentral:lncRNA from 1 species
GCAUCUCGCUGUCUGCGCUGGGCACGGAGCGGCGCGCGCGCGCCCGUCUUUCCCUCGGCGGCCCCCGCGGCUCGGACCCGGGCCGGCAGACAGGCCAUCCAUCAUCCGCCCUCCUCCCGCGGAGCGCCGCAGCCGCCGCGGCCAAUCCGGCGGCAGGUGGGGCCGCACCUGCGCGACAGCCCGCCGCUUCCCUCCGCUCCCUUCGCCGCGCCUCGCGUGCUAGCGGUGCCCUUGUGAGCCACUGCGUUCUCCAAGGCCAGAACGGGACAGCAAAAAAGACAGAAGAUUAAAGGAUCUGAAAUUCAUUCAACGAUAAAAGUGCUUAAAACAUUCUAUCUUGGAGAGAUUUACAUUUUAAUUGGUAGCAAGCUUGAAAAGAAAAGAAUGAAGAUCUUGGAUACUUCUAAUCAUCAAGGAAAGGGUACAAAUCAAACUGCUCUGAUGGCCUGAUUUGCACUUCUUCUACAGUUGACGAUGGUCGUACUUCUCCAUGUUCUGAGACCAGUUUAAACAAAAACAAAAACCAGACAACAACCUUGCAAGGGAAAGAAUUCAGAGUAAAUAAACAGUCUUUUUCUGGGAAGUAAAAUAUUUCCCUAAGAUGGAGAAAUUGAGAUGAGAGCUCAUCCACAAGAUUACCCAUCAAUGAGCACCAAUAGCAACCAAAUCCACUAGAAGACUGGGAGCUUUUAAGUCAAGAAACUUACAUCAGUAUCAUCAUUCCAAGAAGCGGUAUCCAAGCUGUUUUAUCGAAAGUGCGCAUGGGAGAAACCCCUUUCUGAGGCACAGACCCUGCAGGCUCUGAAGAAAUAGGAUAGAUUAUUUCAGCUCUCUCAGCUUGGGAAGUGUGUUUGGAAGAGCAUCUUCCUAGCUGCAAUAAUAAACAGCUCCAGCUGCAAGAGCUUUGCUAAACAAGCCUGGGCAAAACCGUUGGAUUCCUUUCCUUUGACCAUCUUAGAUUUCCCCUGCAAGAGGCAAGGCAGGGAGCCUGCCCUGGAAAUGUCCUCCUAGCCCUGCCCUGUGCAGCUCUGCGCUUCCCCAGGAACACACUCCCUCCCCCAGUCCGCCGCCCCACUUUUGUUUUAUUUACGAAUAUGUUGCCAGAAUUCCAAUGAGUUAUCUAUUCUGUGGCCCCUUCAUUUUCCCACCGAGGCCUUGUCGCCGGCUGACUCAGGGUCCAGUCGCAACAGUGAGAAGAAAAGAAGAGAGCAAAAGAAUUCUUUUCAACUUUUUUUUUUUUUAUGUUUCACUCAUUUCUCUCUCUGUCUCCCCCAGGCCUCCUCCCCUCUCCUGCUCCCUCGUUCCCCCCACUCCCCAGCCUCCUAGGCUCUCCUUUACCCCCUUUAUGUUACACGAUCGCUCAAAUUGAAGCUCAGGAGGGUCCUAUAGGGAAUGCAUAGGAACCCUGGGAGAAAAAAGCCCCCAACAAGCUAUACACCAGAUGUAUAACGUUAUAUGGUCAAACUGGCAAACACAAAAGCUGAAAAACAAAAGGCGUGAAUUAGGGAGACGCAUUCAAAGGCGUGUUUUCAAAACAGCCCGGCCAAGAGCCUGGAUCCCCCUCCUGAGACUAAAUGCUUGAAAGAAAAGGUGCUAAAGAAAGAAAGGAAAAGAAAAAAAGCCCAUUUUUUCUAAUUAGCUGAGGCCUAACAGGCGCUGAAUUUCGCAACUAGUUUUCAUCAAGGGGGUUGUGGCUCGUGAAACUGAAAAAAGAUGCUUUUGAAACCUGUGAUGUAGGCCCUUUCUCGGACCAGAGCUGGUCUCUCUCCUUGAGCUUUUUUCUCCCCCUCGCUUUUUGGGUUCUGCCUUGCUUCAUAUCUUGAUCCCUUUUUUGCACCCUCCCCUCAAAGUACAAAUAUUAUUUGGGCUUAAAAAGAGAGCAGGAGGGAAAGCCACAAUGGCCCUCCCCGCCCCUCUUUCUGUCUGGUAGGCAGGGGGUUUUCCUUGCCAGCAACAGUCCUGAGUCGCUAUGAAUCUCAUUCCAAAGCUCCGCAGAGCACCAAAGGGGAGGGAAAAGGUGUCACUGCAGGCUGAGAGUGUGUGUGUGUGUGUGUGUGUGUGUGUGUGUGUGUGUGUGUUUUCUGUAAACGCUGGGCUUAAAAUUAAAAACCCUCCACUACUGUGAUUUUAGAUAUUUGGAGGAUGGUCUCUCGCUGAGCGUUUUUGCAAAUGCAACUAGGCAAUGUUUUCUAGGCAGCAAGGUAGAUUCCCAGAGCAAAAGGUUUUGCUCCUCCUGCGCUUUCAGAAAGGACACACACAAGCAACCUGAAUUUUUUUUUAAUUCUGAUUUGAAGUGUAUAAAAGGAUGUUGCAACCAGAGAGUUACUAGUCUUCUGCUGCAUGAACAAAUUAUGAACUUGCAUUCUUCAAUCACAUUUCUAAUAGGAAAACAAAGCAGAACUCGUGGGUGAGAGUUGGUGGGCCGCCUGCGUUUGGAAGGGAGGCAACUUUAAUUGCCGUGCUGUCUGGCUCGGAUCCCUGUGGUCCUGCGUGGUGUGUUUUAGUAACAAACACUUGUUCUAAUGAAUUGGCCUUAUUAGGGGGCUCCUCAUAUUCUUUUAUAAAGAGCAGAGCUAUUCUGAACUUCUGAAUGCAACAGUCUCUUGAUAUUCUCACACUGAAGGCUGUAGUGUGGGAUUGCAUUCCCUCUCCUGUAUUUUCAUAAGGCUCGUAUUUUUUAAUGGCAGAAGAGUGAGCAGUGGUAGAAAGGUAAGAAAACUACAGAGCUUGCAGGUACCUGCCAUCCAUGGACCCAGGGCCAUCAAAGAGGCUUGCAAAAUCAUUAUGCUAAAGAUGUAUUUGCCUUCACAGCUGAACAAUCCGGAUUUUAGGUCAGUCACCUCCUGGCACAUUUAAAAAAAAAAAAAAAACUCAUGGCAAUGGAUAAAACAGAUUCAUUAGCUUUGAUUAACCUUCUUUAACUAGAGUUAAAAACCUGCCGUAGGCAGCUCAGCUACCAAUGCAGCCUUGAAGAUACUUUAUCAUGUUUAAGACCCAAUUACUGUUGCACUGAGUAAGAAUAAAACAUCACAAUAAAAUGUGGUACAAACCGCAACUCUAACGCACACAGCAAAUAAUCAUUAAUUUACAACAGCAACUUUCCCAUUUCUAUGGUUUUUCUGAUGGCUGCACUUAGUUCAAGUUGAAUACCUUGGAAUUCGAUGCUGAUAUGAGAAACUAGUUCCCCAGCUGUAUUGACUGAUGGCUUUUUUUUUUUUUCUGUCUUAUAGCUUUAGUUUGGAGACUCAGAAGACUCUUUUAAAAAUUUCCAAGUAAAAUAAAAAAGAGAAACUAAAGUCAAAACAGGGUCUGUGGAACUAGGUUUAUAUAAGAGACAGGGAGGGAGAGAGAGAGAGAGAAAGGAUUAAAAUGGUUGAAACUUUAGAAUUUUAUAACAAUUUCUUAUUAAUAAUUGGAAAUAUUUCUAGUUAGAAGUUGUAAAUAUUAAAGAAACACAGCCCAGUAAAGUCAGCAUUGAGUUAGUUCAAAGAGUUAUCCGUAUGAUAUGCAAACUUCUUGAAAGAGCUACAGUGAGGUCUAUUUUGUGCAUCUUGUAAGAAAAGAGAGCUUGAGAAGAACUCCAGCACACAAUGAGUUAAUUUUGGACAGGAUUUGACUGAACAGGGAAUAAUGAACAGUGAGAUACUGCAGCUUUCAGGCAAAACAGAGUAACAACAAUUAAAAAGAGAGAGAGGGGAUAAAGGGAGAAAACAAUCUCCAGUCAGUUAACUAACAAGAGCAGCCCAGUGUUUGAAACAGAUAAAACAGAGGCCACCAGGAACGCUGCUGCUGCUGCCGCUGCCACUUGCUUUAUGCCUGGGUGUGGAAAGCAUUACAACAUUUGUGAGCCAACUGUUUGUGGGUUUCUUCUCAUCUGCUUUAAAAUAUUUGGUUUUGCCGUAUUUCCAUAAUAACCACAACCACACUCUCCUCUCCAAAAACCCCCCACAACAACAGAUGUGUGUUCUAAAAGGAAAUAGAGACACUGAUAUAAUCAGACACUAGUUAGAGUGCUUUCAUACUAAAUUCUCCAGCAAAUUCACAACAACAAAAAACUCUCAACCACUGAUGAAAUUAAUCUAAGAUCCUUGAUUAUUUGAAGUUCUAAAAGUUUCCAUUUUGCAUUUUGUUUUUGAAUGUAUAGUGCUUUAUUUAUCAAACUGCAGCGUAAUUUUCCCUUCAGUUUGAGGCUGCGAUUGUGAAACAAAUAAAUUGAAACUUAAGGGCCUGUUCUCUCCAAAUUUAGUUCCAUUAUCACUUUAAGAAUGCAUGCUACUCAAUGAUACAAAAGGGAUGUAUGUAGCUGGUUAUUUAGUUGCUAACUCAGCAAUAUGUCAGUUAACACAGCACUCCCUUGUAAAACUCCUUUUACAAGGUUGUUUUCUCAUUGGAAGUCUCCAUUUGUGUAUUUGUGUACCUAUGUGCGUGUGUGUGUGUGAAUAUCGGAUAUUACAUGACAGCAAGAUAUCUUUUAAAUAUUUAAGAUUUACAAUUUUAAAGAGAGAAAACAAGAAUAAAGUUUUGCAGAAGCUUAAAAAAAAUUUAAAAUCAGUUCACACUUUGAGCUAGAAUGGGGAUAGUAGUGAUAUUUCAAAUAUAUUAAUUAUAUGCCUCUCUCAUAGCUAUGAUAUUCUUGUAUGUAUUGAUAUGCACUCACUUAAAGUAUAUUAUGUGCUCUACAUAAUAUUAGAUAUUCUAGAGCAUUAAAGAGCAUCAAAUGCAUUUGGUUGCUCUCUACAGUAAGUAAUUUUGGCCUUACAGAAAGUCAUUUGGCCACAGUGAAGUAGCCUUUAACUGUGUUUUACUUGGAAAAGUUUAUUUAAUCGUUAUCCUCUGCACAUACUCUUAGAACAUGUCCAUAUAACAAAAUUGUAGUUGAGGGAGGAAAGUAGAAUUGUGAAUUUAAAAAAAAAAUACUUAUGGUAAUGAUCCUUUUGGCUUCCUGCCUCUAUAUAGAAGCUGGAACCACUUAACCCCAACCUACAGGUCCAGCCCUGACAUGACUGGAACUCAUCUUGACCUUGGGUAAGGGGAAUUCAGGGAGCUGUAGACCAGGAGUUCAUCAGCCAAGCGUGAAGUCCCCUUGGCCCCUGGACAAACUCUUCUCUCAUUUCUCGAGGCUGGGCUCAAGGUUGAUUUCACAGGACAAGGCUUUAACUCCUAGUCCAGUUUAAUGUGUUUCAUCCUGCCCAUGUGCCCAAGUACAACUCAUUGCCUUGUUUUCCUGUAUAGUACCCCUAUUCUGGGCACCCUACAACAGGUUCUCUUAGAGUCCUGCCAGCUCUCCCAUUUCUGGGGCUCAAGACUGGAGAUUCAUGUGAUCUACUGUGUUUACCAGAUGCCCUCCAUCUUGGAUCUCUACCCAUGUCUGUUGCUAGACAGCCGUGGAGCCCUAUUUCACAUUGUUGCUUAGUUAUCCACCAGUCAGCUACUCUUGGACUUCCUUAGAAGCCCAAACUUUUUACAGAUCAGCCCCUGGUGAUUGGUCAAAACUCCAGGUUCCGGCCAGUUCUGCUCUAGCUGGUCUCUCUCAUAACCUUUUGAACUGGGCAGAGAUGCUAGCACAACGGGUAAAGAAAGAUGAAAAAAAAAAGCAACAAAACUAUAAUCAAGAUUGUUGGAAUCUUCAAUAGGCUUCCUUCCACAUAUCCCUUGCCUUCAUUACCUUAUAUUAACAUUCUCAAGUUCUUCAGUAUUCAUUAUCUUAUAUUAACAUUCUUAAGUUCUUGAGUAUUUUUGGAACUAUCCAGUCUCUAGUGGUUAUGCCAGUCAUUGUGUCUACCAGAGCUAUGGGAAUUUUGUCUCCAGCUUUCCAGUCUACUCCCAGUGACAGCCCGGCAGAAAAAGAUUUAUAAUCUCAAACCCAACAAGGAACAUCAAUGAAUGUUUUAUAAAUUCAGUAGUCAUUUGCAACAGUCAGUGACAGAGGCAAGCUGGCUAAUUUCAAAAGGGAGUAUCCCCCUAGUCUGAUAUGUGGGCAUUUGGAGGAGUGGGGAAGGCCUUGUCCUGAGGCUCCUCUGUGUACUGUAAAGAAAUAGAGCCCACAGCAUGUGCUCUAGAAUCAGACCACGCCAGCUUCCUCCUAAUAAGCUGCCUCUGCAUUCCUAAUGUGGAAACGAACAUGAAGCUUCACAGCAAGUUAUUAUCUUAGAGAAGGCCCACCUGGAUGAUAUCAGUUUUCACUGCCAGACCCUCUUAAUAAUUGGCCUUUGACACAUAUCCAGGUGUCGUCUUAGAUCAUAAACACCUAAGUAGCUGUAGGAACAGUGAUUUGAAUAGCAGCCCUUUGCAAAUUUCCAUCUUAAAACUUUUAAGUAAAUCGUUCUUAAGCCUGACUGCAAUUGGAAUCACUUGGAAAGCUUAAAAAUAAAAUGCCCAAGUUUCACCCACCAACCUGUUGAGUUCAAUUAGUCUGAUGUGAGGGUACACAUGACAUCUCGAUUAGGAGAGGUUCAGGGAUUGCUAAUAUUCCACCAGAAUAGAAGACACUUCUUUACAUCUUCAGACAGCGAAAUACCAGCACAACCAUUACUCUGCUGAGCAAUGGGAAACCCAAAAGGAGUAUAUACUUUCAUCUUCACCCAAGGUCAGUUUCUUAUGCCUGUAAGAUCAGCGCUUUCUCCUCUGGUCAGCUGACAGAACAGCCUCACCUACUCUAAGUCACAACCUUCUCUGAGGACCUAAGCUGUAUAAUUAAGGCACAAGUACAAGUCUUUGGGCUUUCAAGGCAAAGUUCCCUUAAGUCCCAACUCACCCUUGCUAACUACCUCUCUGAUUUAUGGAAACCAGGCUCUUCCUUUGCUGGUCACCAGAAGCCUGACUUAUUCAGAACCACUGAAACCCAUCCUGUCCCCUCUCUUUUUACUGUCUGCUUCUAUUCUUUGAUAAGCUGCUGAAACAUACUGCUGUGAAAACUGCUAGUAAUUGGGCACAGUUAGAUUAAGGAAACCCUUCAGGUAGCCUCAAGGUCAAAAAACUGCUUCUUAUGCCAAGAUCCUCCCAAUGACAACAUCCUUUAGAGGAGAGACCAGUUUUUCCUUCUUCCCUGCUACCAGUUUCAACUCCAGUCUGUUGGAAGCUUGACUUCCAGGUCCUGGAAAGCCAGAAGCCAGAAAAAGAUUUAUUACACAUUAGUUCAGAGAAAUAGAAGUGAAAUCUUCUAAGAACUAGAAAAAUUUUCACCGAUUAUUUCCUCAUCCUUCCUCUGCCCAUAUUUUUCUUUGAUGAUGUAACAAAUGCCCUGCACAGUAGUUCAAGCAGCCUUAUAUCACUGGCUUGUAACCUGUUUAUAGAAUAACUGGAGAAUUCUUAUAAAUUCCUGGGCCCUGACAAUAUCUAAUACUUGCAUGGCACAUUAUGGUUUAGAUAACACUUCACAUGCAUUAUCUCAUUUAAUCUUCAUGGGGAAAGUGGCUGACUCAUACAUAUAUAAAGAAAGAGAGCCGAACUUAACUACAGAAUAUAGUUGACAGCACAAAAUAAAGUGACACUAAGUGAGGUACCACGCAGGAACUGCAUAGGUUUCUGUUGUAAUCCUCUCCUGAAUGUGUCCAUUGCUUAUAUAAUGCCAUUCAGUACAAGAUAGUUACCAUAUUAUUUCCCUCCUUAUCUCUUGGUACAAAUAGUGCACAAAGUAGGAAGAUUAGCUGAGUGAUGCUUAAAAUCUCUUCUAGUUAUAUCUCUUCUUUGUUAGCCUUCUUUACACAUUAUCUAAGCAUAACUUUGGAAGUUCUUGAAUUAUUUUUUCCCUAGGAAACUGCAUGUCUUCCAGUAUAUCAUUGGUUGAAAAAGGCACAAACAAAAAACUUAAUUUGAUAUUAAACUUAAGUACAGUGCAGCAUUAUAGAUCCCUCCCUUCUGUUUCUAGCUCUCAUGUGGUUUUCUCAGCAGCUGUAUGAGCACUGAUUUAGUCUGGGAUGUAAACAGUGCACCUUUAAGGUAACCUGUGCGCUUCCGUUAUUUUGUUUUCUGGAAGCCUAUGAGAAGGUUAACGUAGUUCAUUAAGGUUUGCAUAACUUCUUAUGUUUGAUGACUCAUUCACAAAAAUGAAAAGCAGGACUUAGGAUUUGUUAACCAGAAUUAUGUAAACCGUAUAUCUAGCAUAUCUGGGUUAAAAUCCCAACUCUUUAACAUUUUACUAGCUCUACAUUCUUGUGGAAGUCUUUGAGUUAUAGUUCCCUCUUUUGUAGAACCGAAAGAAUACUACCCAUCCCAUAAAGCUUUGUGAAGCCAUAGUACCUGGUACAUAACUCUCAAUAAUUGGUAGUUGUUUUUAUAACAGUGCUGGUAGUAGUUAUUAUUCUAACUACAAAUUAUAAGUUUUACUUAAUAAUACAAAAUAAAAGCCACUACCAUAAAUAACUCCUGUGCCUUCUACUUCCUACCCCAAAAUAAUUGAACCAAACUCUGCUCUAUUCUCUGGACAACCCAUGGAUCAAAUAAUGAAGCACAACAUUUAAAAGCUUAAAAUAUGGCUGGGUGCAGUGGCGCACGCCUGUAAUCCCAGCACUGUGGGAGGCCGAGGCGAGCAGAUCACCUGAGGUCAGGAGUUCGAGACAGCCUGGGCAACAUGGUGAAACCCCAUCUCUACUAAAAAUACAAAAAUUCGUUGAGCAUGGUGGCACACGUCUGUAAUCCCACCUACUUGGGAGGCUGAGGCAGGAGGAUCACUUGAACCCGGGAGGUAGAAGUUGCAGUGAGCUGAGAUUGCACCACUGCACUCCAGCCUGGGUGACAGAGUGAGACUCUGUCUCAAAAAACAAACAGAAACACAUAAAAGCUUAAAAUGUUUUGGGAAAGUGCCUACUCUGAAUGUAUGAACAGAUUCCAAUAUAUGUAAGAAGGUGGAUACCAAUUCAUGGUAUUUCUCAGGGAUCUCAUCAGAGAGAGAGACAUCUUCGCCACUGCCAUGAAGUUUCAAGUACAGAACUCUUCCUCGUAAUCAAACUAUUUCUAUGAACAAUUCACUCAUCAUUGUGGGAAAGUCUAUUUUUCAUCUUAACACACAAACAGACAAUAACAAAAUUUGUGAUUUGGAUAAUCUGGAUCUGAUGUUCAUGCUCAAAAUGGAGGCAAUUCGUAAUACUGGUCUGAAGCAUUUAGUCAUUCACUGAGCAGAUACGUUAGGAGCAACAGGCAUGGGCUGUGUUUUUCUAGGCACUGUGAACACAGCAGUCAACGAAGUCAAAAACCUGUGCUCUUAAGGGACAUGAAUUGCCAAAUGGAAACACUAAGUUUUUCUAUUUAUGACCUAAAGCUAGUCAAAUAUCUCCAGAAGUAAGGUAGCUGAGUGAAGUGGUUCAUAAUCUUUCCAUGGGAGCCAAAUCCUCGGUGCUGUGACUCUUUUAGAUAAAUGAUAGUAAAAAUGAAUCAAAAGUUAAUUAGCUUGCACCUCAAUAAUCCAGUCUCCAUCACUGAUGGUCAUCGUGGAAUCUGCGUACAGAGGCAGCUGUAUACAGAUGACAGAGACAGCUCUAACACGUGACACAUUUAAGCACACAGAGGCGGAAGGACAUAAAGUUCCUGGUUGAUUUCCCUUUGGUGUUUGUGGGGAAAUAUCAAGGUCAUAAAAAGUCAGUUUCUAAUAAUCCCUCCAGUCCUCCAUUCCAUUCCCUAAUUUGUAUGCAAUGGCAUUUAACAUUUUGACUUUGCUUAAAAUAAAAUGUGUGUUUGUUUUAAA